CCUACGGGAGGCAGCAGUGGGGAAUAUUGGACAAUGGGGGGAACCCUGAUCCAGCCAUGCCGCGUGUGUGAAGAAGGCCCUCGGGUUGUAAAGCACUUUCAGUGAGGAAGAACGCCUGGUGGUUAAUACCCAUCAGGAAAGACAUCACUCACAGAAGAAGCACCGGCUAACUCCGUGCCAGCAGCCGCGGUAAUACGGAGGGUGCGAGCGUUAAUCGGAAUUACUGGGCGUAAAGCGCGCGUAGGUGGCUUGAUAAGCCGGUUGUGAAAGCCCCGGGCUCAACCUGGGAACGGCAUCCGGAACUGUCAAGCUAGAGUGCAGGAGAGGAAGGUAGAAUUCCCGGUGUAGCGGUGAAAUGCGUAGAGAUCGGGAGGAAUACCAGUGGCGAAGGCGGCCUUCUGGACUGACUCUGACACUGAGGUGCGAAAGCGUGGGUAGCAAACAGGAUUAGAUACCCUGGUAGUC
rnacentral:rRNA from 1 species